UUUAUUAGAUGGACCAGCAGUUGUCUUUUCUGUAGUACUUGGUUGAGUCGUUGAACCGGUUGGUGUAGGACCAGUAGUAGGACCAGAAGCAGGACCAGAAGCAGGACCAGUAGUAAGACUAGGAGUAUGACCGCUAAUAGGACCAGUAGUAGGGGGACCAGUAGUAGGGGGACCAGUAGUAGGAGGACCAGUAGUAGGAGGACCAGUAGUAGUAGGACCAGUAGUAGGACCAGUAGUAGGACCAGUAGUAGGACCAGUAGUAGGACCAGCAGUAGGACCAGCAGUAGGACCAGUAGUAGGACCAGUAGUAGGACUACGCUGAGUUGUUGAAACGGUUGGUUGUUCAGAAGUUGUAA
rnacentral:lncRNA from 1 species